rnacentral:rRNA from 1 species
AUGGAGAUGCGGUUGGAAAACGGAGUACUUGCCUCGUCAUUUAUUGGAGGACCACGAGAUAAACUUCGUCGAUAUCUCGACGCUAUGGCUUUAGUUAGAAAAUAUGGUAAGCCAGACGUAUUCCUAACAAUGACCUGCAACCCCAACUGGGAGGAGAUAACACGUGAACUAGAGAAUGGACAAACAGCACAAGAUCGCCCAGACAUUGUAGUUCGUGUUUUUAGGGCGAAGCUACAAGAAAUGAAGAAGGAACUAUUUGAGAAGGGCAUUCUUGGAAAGGUUCAGGCAUAUACAUAUGUCGUAGAAUUCCAAAAGAGGGGAUUACCCCAUGCUCACUUUUUGCUCAUCAUGACUCGAAAAUACAAGUACACAUGUCCAGAGCAGUAUGACAGAAUCAUAUCCGCAGAGCUCCCUAACAAGCACAAGUACCCAGAACUAUACAAGAUGGUAAUCAAACAUAUGAUGCAUGGUCCUUGCGGUGCAUUGAACAAAUUUUGUCCAUGCACAAAGAAUCGUCCAUCAUGCAAGAACAAUUAUCCAAGACCAUUUAACGAAACUACGAUUCAAGGCAAGGACUCCUACCCAAUAUACAGGAGACGCAACGACGGCCGGACUGAAACGGUCCGAAAUUGCAAACUAGAUAACAGGUGGGUAGUUCCUUACAAUCCCUAUCUGUUAAGGAUGUUCAACUGCCACAUAAAUGUUGAGAUAUGCUCAAGCAUUAAAGCCGUGAAGUACCUCUUCAAGUACAUCUACAAGGGUCAUGACCGAGCAUCCGUAUCCGUAACAGACAAAGUAGACGAAGAAGAAAUCGACGAGAUUAAGCAGUACAAAGACGCCCGGUGGGUGACACCUCCUGAAGCACUGUGGAGAAUAUAUGGCUUCGAACUAAGUAAAAUGCACCCACCAGUCUUGCAACUGCAGCUACAUCUCCCAAAUAUGCACAUGGUUUCAUAUCAUGGCAUGGAAAAAUUACAGAAUGUUAUCGACCGUGAAGACACGAAAAGAUCAAUGUUGACUGCGUACUUUGAAGCAAACAGAUGGUAUGCAAAAGCACGAGGCAUACUAUACAGAGAGUUUCCGGAACAUUAUACUUGGCAGAGUCAGGGGAAAUUUUGGCAACAGAGGAAGCGAGCCGCUGUGUUCCAGGUUGGCAGGAUCGUCUCAGCACACCCGGCUGAAGGAGAACGAUACUAUCUUCGAGUCCUCCUAAACCACGUGACAGGCGCCACCAGCUACGAAGACCUACGAACAGUCGAUGGACAAGUAAUGCCAACCUUUCGAGAAGCUGCAGAAAAAAGAGGUCUCACUGAGGCAGAUAGCACAUUGGAUGACUGCAUGACAGAAGCGGAGUUGUUUCGGAUGCCAUCAUCGCUACGAAGACUAUUUGCAACAAUCUUGGUUUUUUGCGAGCCCAGCGACGUACGCAGCCUCUGGAACAAACACCUUGAUGCAAUGUCAGAGGACUACAAUAGAAAUUGCAAAUGCAAACACACAGUCGAACAGAUGGUUCUGAAAAAUAUAAGAGACAUGUUGCACUCAAUGGGAAAAGACAUAGAAUCAUUUCCUCUUCCAAAGAUCGAUGAACAGCAUGAGAUGACAGACGACAUACCGAGGGAGAUCAUUGAGGAAACUUCCAUCGAGGUGGAACCCGAGGACACAUCUUUGCAUAAGAACCUAAACAAGGAACAGAAGGAGGCCUACGACGAAAUCCUAUUGACGACCAUAGAGGAGGUAUAUUCUUUGUCGAUGGACCUGGAGGCAUGGGAAAAACUUUUCUUUACAGGGCUCUCUUAG